AUUGAACGCUGGCGGCAUGCCUUACACAUGCAAGUCGAACGGCAGCACGGGAGCAAUCCUGGUGGCGAGUGGCGAACGGGUGAGCAAUAUAUCGGAACGUGCCCAGUAGUGGGGGAUAACUGCUCGAAAGAGCAGCUAAUACCGCAUACGACCUGAGGGUGAAAGGGGGGGAUCGCAAGACCUCUCGCUAUUGGAGCGGCCGAUAUCAGAUUAGCUAGUUGGUGGGGUAAAGGCCUACCAAGGCAACGAUCUGUAGUUGGUCUGAGAGGACGACCAGCCACACUGGGACUGAGACACGGCCCAGACUCCUACGGGAGGCAGCAGUGGGGAAUUUUGGACAAUGGGCGCAAGCCUGAUCCAGCAAUGCCGCGUGCAGGAAGAAGGCCUUCGGGUUGUAAACUGCUUUUGUCAGGGAAGAAAUCCUCUAGGUUAAUACCCUUGGGGGGAUGACGGUACCUGAAGGAUAAGCACCGGCUAACUACGUGCCAGCCGCCGCGGUAAAAC
rnacentral:rRNA from 1 species